UACGAAGGGGGGCUAGCGUUGUUCGGAUUUACUGGGCGUAAAGCGCGUGUAGGUGGUGGGACAAGUCUGCUGUGAAAGCGCCUGGCUUAACCGGGCGAGGUCGGCGGAAACUGGUUCGACUCGGAGGACGGUAGAGGGGGGUGGAAAUUCCCGGUGUAGUGGUGAAAUGCGUAGAGAUCGGGAGGAACACCUGUGGCGAAGGCGGCCCCCUGGGCCGGCC
rnacentral:rRNA from 1 species